GACGAACGCUGGCGGCGUGCUUAACACAUGCAAGUCGAACGGAAAGGCCCUGCUUUUGUGGGGUGCUCGAGUGGCGAACGGGUGAGUAACACGUGAGUAACCUGCCCUUGACUUUGGGAUAACUUCAGGAAACUGGGGCUAAUACCGGAUAGGAGCUCCUGCUGCAUGGUGGGGGUUGGAAAGUUUCGGCGGGUGGGGAUGGACUCGCGGCUUAUCAGCUUGUUGGUGGGGUAGUGGCUUACCAAGGCUUUGACGGGUAGCCGGCAUGAGAGGGGGACCGGCGACAUUGGGACUGCGAUACGGCCCAGACUGCUACGGGAGGCAGCAGUGGGGAAUAUUGCACAAUGGGCGGAAGCCUGAUGCAGCAACGCUGCGGUCGGGAUGACGGUCUUCGGGGUGUAAACCGCUUUCGGCUGUGACGAAGCGUGAGUGACGGUAACGGGUAAAGAAGCACCGGCUAACUACGUG
rnacentral:rRNA from 1 species